GUUGAACGCUGGCGGCAUGCUUUACACAUGCAAGUCGAACGGGGUGGGGGGCAACUCCCAUUCAGUGGCGAACGGGUGAGUAAUGCAUCGGAACGUAUCCCGUAGUGGGGGACAACGCCGCGAAAGCGGCGCUAAUACCGCAUAUGCUCUACGGAGGAAAGUGGGGGACCGCAAGGCCUCACGCUAUGGGAGCGGCCGGUGUCCGAUUAGCUAGUUGGUGGGGUAAUGGCCCACCAAGGCGACGAUCGGUAGCUGGUCUGAGAGGAUGAUCGGACAAACUGGGACUUAGACACGGCCCAGACUCCUACGGGAGGCAGCAGUGGGGAAUUUUGGACAAUGGGGGCAACCCUGAUCCAGCCAUGCCGCGUGCGGGAAGAAGGCCUUCGGGUUGUAAACCGCUUUUAGCCGGGAAGAAAAGGCGUCGCCUAAUACGCGGCGUUCUUGACGGUACCGGCGGAAUAAGCACCGGCUAACUACGUGCCAGCAGCCGCCGUAACAC
rnacentral:rRNA from 1 species